rnacentral:rRNA from 1 species
GACGAACGCUGGCGGCGUGCCUAAUACAUGCAAGUAGAACGCUGAAGGAGGAGCUUGCUUCUCUGGAUGAGUUGCGAACGGGUGAGUAACGCGUAGGUAACCUGCCUGGUAGCGGGGGAUAACUAUUGGAAACGAUAGCUAAUACCGCAUAAGAGUAGAUGUUGCAUGACAUUUGCUUAAAAGGUGCAAUUGCAUCACUACCAGAUGGACCUGCGUUGUAUUAGCUAGUUGGUGGGGUAACGGCUCACCAAGGCGACGAUACAUAGCCGACCUGAGAGGGUGAUCGGCCACACUGGGACUGAGACACGGCCCAGACUCCUACGGGAGGCAGCAGUAGGGAAUCUUCGGCAAUGGACGGAAGUCUGACCGAGCAACGCCGCGUGAGUGAAGAAGGUUUUCGGAUCGUAAAGCUCUGUUGUAAGAGAAGAACGAGUGUGAGAGUGGAAAGUUCACA